AACGAGACCUUAACCAGCUAAAUAGCCAGGCUAGCUUUGGCUGGUCGCCGGCUUCUUAGAGGGACUAUCGGCUCAAGCCGAUGGAAGUUUGAGGCAAUAACAGGUCUGUGAUGCCCUUAGAUGUUCUGGGCCGCACGCGCGCUACACUGACAGAGCCAACGAGUUCAUCACCUUGUCCGAAAGGUCUGGGUAAUCUUGUGAAACUCU
rnacentral:rRNA from 1 species